rnacentral:rRNA from 1 species
GGUAGUCCACGCCGUAAACGGUGCGCACUAGGUGUCGGGGGUAUCGACCCCUCCGGUGCCGCAGCUAACGCAUUAAGUGCGCUGCCUGGGGAGUACGGCCGCAAGGCUAAAACUCAAAGGAAUUGACGGGGCCCGCACAAGCAGCGGAGCGUGUGGUUUAAUUCGAUGCAACGCGAAGAACCUCACCUAGGCUUGACAUGCACUAAGUAGAACCCUGAAAGGGGGGACGACUCGUCGAAUCGAGAUGGUGCACAGGUGCUGCAUGGCUGUCGUCAGCUCGUGCCGUGAGGUGUUGGGUUAAG